rnacentral:lncRNA from 1 species
AGAGAAAGAACAGUACAUGUCCAAGACAUCAAUGACAAGAUUCUCAAGAGACAGAAGUCCUAAAUUCCUGCACCAAUAACACUUGGAAUAAGAAAUAAUAUUUAGGCAUUGGGUUUCUUUUUCUAUUUUUGAAAUAAUUGUUUAUUGUUUGUGUGAAUACACAUACAUUCAUGCAGUGUGGACAAUUUGUAGGAGUUGGUUUUACUUCUAAUGUGUGGGUUCCAGGGAUUGAACUCAGGUUGUCAGGCUUGGCAGGGAGUGCCUUUACCUAUUGAACCAUUCUGCUGGCCCUAGUUACUGGAUUUCUUAACUUGUAGGGAUGAAUAGGGAAAUCUAACUCACAGUAGGUUGCCUUGACAAGGUACAAGUUCCAUUAGACUUGGCCAGUUCCUAUCAUGAGGAACAGCAUAGGAGUGCAGCUUUAGUUGCUGUUCUGUGAGUGAUAUUUUUUUCUUCAUCAGGAGGAGAAUAUGAAAAGCUGAUAUGCUAUACAGAUUGCAGAGAGUUCUAGAUCUGCUUUAUAAAGAACAAAUAAAAACAUACAGAUGCCAAGACAAAAAGACAACUUAUGGAAGACAGAUCAUAAGUAUAAAAUAAAAGAAUUCAUAUAGAUUAACAUGGACUGGGAUAGUUGACCAGGGGAUUAAAUGGGUGGGAGUGUUAUAAGCAAAACAGUCAAAGGGACUGUAAAAUAGUAACUUUUAUUUCUUUAAAAAUACAUUAAAAUUUUUAUUACUACCUGUCAUGCUCAGAUACAUAUCAUAGGAUAAAAUUUCCCUAAAAUAUAAAAUGGAAUGUUAUGUCUUUAAAAGAUGGUGAUGGCUAAAGACAUCUGCUUCUGUGGCCCACUCCAGGUCAUCUGCAGGAUCUACAGGCCUUCAGGAAGGGUAGAAAGGGUUUGCAGCAACAUGGCCAGUGAGCCACAGCCUCAUGGUGACCAGAGAGCUCGCCUCCCAGCACUGUUCUCAAUGGCUUCUUCCAAAAGACUGUCAGAUGCAACAAAAAGUAACAUUUACAUCGUCCUCUGGGAAACCAUGCUCCUUCCGUCUUGAAGUUUGGGAGAAACCAUGCCUGAGAGCAUGGUUGAGUAUGCAUGGUCGAGGCUUGGACAAUGAAACUGGUGACCCACCCUACACCUACUGUUAUCUCCGGGAUCAACAUACAAAAGUUGUUCUGAUCAAAGUAAGCAAUGACUCUUAAAAAUACAUCUGAGGAUAGCUGUUCUUUUUUUUUUUUUUUUUC